GACGAACGCUGGCGGCGUGCCUAAUACAUGCAAGUUGAGCGAUGAAGAUUGGUGCUUGCACCAAUUUGAAGAGCAGCGAACGGGUGGGUAACGCGUGGGGAAUCUGCCUUUGAGCGGGGGACAACAUUAGGAAACGAAUGCUAAUACCGCAUAAUAACUUUAAACAUAAGUUUUAAGUUUGAAAGAUGCAAUUGCAUCACUCAAAGAUGAUCCCGCGUUGUAUUAGCUAGUUGGUGAGGUAAAGGCUCACCAAGGCGAUGAUACAUAGCCGACCUGAGAGGGUGAUCGGCCACAGUGGGACUGAGACACGGCCCAGACUCCUACGGGAGGCAGCAGUAGGGAAUCUUCGGCAAUGGACGUAAGUCUGACCGAGCAACGCCGCGUGAGUGAAGAAGGUUUUCGGAUCGUAAAACUCUGUUGGUAGGGAAGAACGUUGGUGAGAGUGGAAAGCUCAUCAAGUGACGGUAACUACCCAGAAAGGGACGGCUAACUACGUG
rnacentral:rRNA from 1 species